UCCUUUUCACAUACACAAAAUUUGACCUUCAAAUGUCAUUUUCUAUUUGUGAAAUAUUUCAUAUAUUCUCUCUUAAGCAAAAAGUUAUAUAAUUCAACCAAAUUAUCACACACUUCUCUUUAUAAUAUUUCUUCCCAUUGUGCAAAUCAAGAGCUCUGUGAAUAAUAAAUUAUGCACUUCCCAACAAGAGGAGAGAAAAAAAUGGAAUAUCAUAAAACCAUAGGCGUGGCCAGGCAAACAAAACACACUACUGAGAACAAAAGCCAAAAUAUUGCCCAGCUAAGCAAAUCCUUAUAGAACAGCAACGACUAGGACAUAUAAAAACCAACAAAAGUCUGGCCUAAAGCGACAAGACGUAGCACAAUACGACAACAGGGCACACAAUAUAGAGUGUUGACUGUUGACUGGGCCAUGCCCUGCCUCAGGGCACACUCGGCACAGCAACGUUGGGUAGGCCCAACAACAACAACAACAACGGCAAUAGCAACAGCAACAUGAGCAGCAACAACUUGUCCAUUUAUAGCGCUUCAUUUUAAACAACAAACACUCGGCAAACACUUGCCAUGGCACUGGCACGCAUCACUUGGCUUGAUUUUUAAUUGUGCUGCUGCGCAUUUCAAUUGAAAUAUGAAAAAGGCGUGAGACUUCAGACCCCAACGGGACGAACCAGAGGAAAAAUGAGCAGCAGCAGCAGCAGCAGCAGCAGCAGUGUCGGUAGAGACUGAGGGGGCUUGGCAACCUUCCGCCUGCCUGCCAGGGCCCUGGCUGGGGGCCUUGUUCAACAGCUUGUCUGACUGUAUGCCAGACAGUCGUCAGUCGUCCGACUCAGUGUAGGCCUUUUGAAGCAUAAAGAUAACUUAAGUUGUCCCCACUGGAGCUGAGAGAGAGAGAGAGAGAGAGCGAGAGCAAAGUUCAGUUGCAAGCCGACAACUCGAGUGACAGCAGCGGCGGCGACGGCGGCUGCAAACAAAUGACACUGAAGUUCACCUUUUUAUGCCAAGUGGACUGAGAGCCUGGGACGGAACGCAGCCGAGCGGGUCGUCAGGCGGCCCGGCGAGCUGUCCUGGGAUCCGGCGCUUACAUAAUAAAGUAACUCAAGUACGCUAAGCAGUGAAAGCUUUUGUAACGGGUUGUCACUGGGCUGGCCGGGCUCAGAGGGCUGCUCUUUUGCCUGUGCGUUAGGCUAAACAUUAAAGAAAUUAUAAAUAUGUCGACAGAGCUAGCUGGUCACGUAUACGAUCUGUGUGUGAGUUGGUUUGCUUAGCAGACAAUUAAAAAUUCCGUUUGUGGUAUUUAAAGCAUUGCA